UGGGGAAUAUUGCACAAUGGGGGGAAACCCUGAUGCAGCAACGCCGCGUGAGUGAUGAAGGCCUUCGGGUUGUAAAGCUCUGUCUUCAGGGACGAUAAUGACGGUACCUGAGGAGGAAGCCACGGCUAACUACGUGCCAGCAGCCGCGGUAAUACGUAGGUGGCAAGCGUUGUCCGGAUUUACUGGGCGUAAAGGGAGCGUAGGCGGAUACUUAAGUGGGAUGUGAAAUACCCGGGCUCAACUCGGGUGCUGCAUUCCAAACUGGGUGUCUAGAGUGCAGGAGAGGAAAGUGGAAUUCCUAGUGUAGCGGUGAAAUGCGUAGAGAUUAGGAAGAACACCAGUGGCGAAGGCGACUUUCUGGACUGUAACUGACGCUGAGGCUCGAAAGCGUGGGGAGCAAACAGGAUUAGAUACCCUGGUAGUCCACGCCGUAAACGAUGGAUACUAGGUGUGGGAGGUAUCGACUCCUUCCGUGCCGUCGUUAACACAAUAAGUAUCCG
rnacentral:rRNA from 1 species